CAAUAAGCGGAGGAAAAGAAACUAACAAGGAUUCCCCUAGUAACUGCGAGUGAAGCGGGAUGAGCUCAAAUUUAAAAUCUGGCGUCUUCGGCGUCCGAGUUGUAAUUUAGAGAAGCGUUUUCCGCGCCGGACCGUGUACAAGUCUCCUGGAACGGAGCGUCAUAGAGGGUGAGAAUCCCGUCUUUGACACGGACCCCCGGUGCUCUGUGAUACGCUCUCGAAGAGUCGAGUUGUUUGGGAAUGCAGCUCAAAAUGGGUGGUGAACUCCAUCUAAAGCUAAAUAUUGGCGAGAGACCGAUAGCGAACAAGUACCGUGAGGGAAAGAUGAAAAGCACUUUGGAAAGAGAGUGAAACAGUACGUGAAAUUGUUGAAAGGGAAACGCUUGAAGUCAGUCGCGUCCGCCGGAGCUCAGCCGCAAGGUGUACUCUCUGGUGGACGGGCCAGCAUCACUUUCGAUCAUCGGAAAAGGGCGAGGGGAAUGUGGCACCUCCGGGUGUGUUAUAGCCCCUUGUCGUAUACGGUGACCGGGAGUGAGGACCGCCUUUUGUAGGAUGCUGGCGUAAUGGCUUUAAACGACCCGUCUUGAAACACGGACCAAGGAGUCUAACAUGCCCGCGAGUGUUCGGGUGGAAAACCCGUGCGCGUAAUGAAAGUGAAAGUUGGGAAGGCUGUCGCGGCCUGCACCGACGCCCGGACUUGAGAUUUAUCGAAGGUUCUGCGGUAGAGCGUGUAUGUUGGGACCCGAAAGAUGGUGAACUAUGCCUGAAUAGGGUGAAGCCAGAGGAAACUCUGGUGGAGGCUCGUAGCGAUUCUGACGUGCAAAUCGAUCGUCAAAUUUGGGUAUAGGG
rnacentral:rRNA from 1 species